rnacentral:lncRNA from 1 species
GAUCCGCUGGCUCCUGACAGGAUGGCUUCCCUUCGCCUGUUCCUCCUCUGCCUCGCUGGACUGAUAUUUGCGUCUGAAGCUGGCCCUGGGGUGAGUGGUCCUGGUGCUGGAGAAUCCAAGUGUCCUCUGAUGGUCAAAGUCCUGGAUGCUGUCCGAGGCAGCCCUGCUGUCGAUGUGGCCGUGAAAGUGUUCAAAAAGACUGCAGACGGAAGCUGGGAGCCGUUUGCCUCUGGGAAGACCGCCGAGUCUGGAGAGCUGCACGGGCUCACCACAGAUGAGAAGUUCACGGAAGGGGUGUAC